rnacentral:miRNA from 1 species
GCCUUGCUGGAGGAAGUAUGUCACUGGGGACAGGCUUUGCAUUUGUGCCCUCACUCCACUUCUGGUUCACUGCCUCUGCUUCAUGCUUG